rnacentral:rRNA from 1 species
UGCAUAUCAAUAAGCGGAGGAAAAGAAACCAACCGGGAUUGCCUUAGUAACGGCGAGUGAAGCGGCAAAAGCUCAAAUUUGAAAUCUGGUACCUUCGGUGCCCGAGUUGUAAUUUGGAGAGGGCAACUUUGGGGCCGUUCCUUGUCUAUGUUCCUUGGAACAGGACGUCAUAGAGGGUGAGAAUCCCGUGUGGCGAGGAGUGCGGUUCUUUGUAAAGUGCCUUCGAAGAGUCGAGUUGUUUGGGAAUGCAGCUCUAAGUGGGUGGUAAAUUCCAUCUAAAGCUAAAUAUUGGCGAGAGACCGAUAGCGAACAAGUACAGUGAUGGAAAGAUGAAAAGAACUUUGAAAAGAGAGUGAAAAAGUACGUGAAAUUGUUGAAAGGGAAGGGCAUUUGAUCAGACAUGGUGUUUUGUGCCCUCUGCUCCUUGUGGGUAGGGGAAUCUCGCAUUUCACUGGGCCAGCAUCAUUUUUGGUGGCAGGAUAAAUCCAUAGGAAUGUAGCUUGCCUCGGUAAGUAUUAUAGCCUGUGGGAAUACUGCCAGCUGGGACUGAGGACUGCGACGUAAGUCAAGGAUGCUGGCAUAAUGGUUAUAUGCCGCCCGUCUUGAAACACGGACCA